UGUUCUGUGGCUUAGUUGGUGAAAGCGCUGGUCUAGCGAAUACGGAGUCGUUGGUUCAAAUCCCACCAGAACGC
rfam:Aedes albopictus isolate Foshan contig119783, whole genome shotgun sequence.